UCUCUGCUGGUACAUCGGAAGUACACGCGCCUGUCAUAAGGCACCCACCGCCAUUUCUCGUGGUUGUGCGAAAGUUGGGUUCGACUCCCAGGCAGAGAG